UAGGGAAUAUUGGUAAUGGGCGAAAGCCUGAACCAGCAACGCCGCGUGUGCGAUGAAGGCCUUCGGGUUGUAAAGCACUUUUGACCGGGACGAGGAAGGACGGUACCGGUGGAAUAAGCCUCGGCUAACUACGUGCCAGCAGCCGCGGUAAAACGUAGGAGGCGAGCGUUAUCCGGAUUUACUGGGCGUAAAGCGUGUGUAGGCGGUUUGAUAAGUUGGAUGUGAAAGCUCCCGGCUUAACUGGGAGAGGUCGUUCAAAACUAUCAGACUCGAGAGUGGUAGAGGGAGGUGGAAUUCCGGGUGUGGUGGUGAAAUGCGUAGAUAUCCGGAGGAACACCAGUGGCGAAAGCGGCCUCCUGGCCCAUUUCUGACGCUCAGACACGAAAGCUAAGGUAGCAAACGG
rnacentral:rRNA from 1 species